rnacentral:lncRNA from 1 species
AUUGGUCACCACAAAAUUCAAAGAGGCAAGGUCUUUGUUGCUCAGGAUGGAGUGUAGUGGUGCCAUAGCUCACUGUAACCUUGAAUUUCUGGGCUACUGGCAUACACCACCAUGCUUGGAUUCAGGCCACAACACCCCUGAGUUUACCGGUUUUGGUCUCUUCCUUGUGACCUUCGGCUCCAGGAUGCAGCACAGCUCCUCACUGCACUAUUUAUCAGAAUGUUGCUCUGCAUGCUUGAAAGUUUCCCCAAACAGAGGUACAUAAAAACAAACAGAGGCAAAACACAAAUCCCAUCAGCCCUGGAGGAAAAGGCCUUGAAGCUCUUCCAGUGCAGAGGCCACACAGAGGACAGGCUCCUACCUGUGCACAUCAGCCACGCCUGGGGCGCCUCCUGGAGUCCAGGCUGCUGGCAAUGGAAUUCAUCAUGUUGCUGAUGUCACU